rnacentral:lncRNA from 1 species
CUACAACACAAUGUUCAUGGCACAGGACACGUUACAUAAGCAAACAUUAUUGUUUCAACCCAUAAGGAAACAUUAUCGUUUCAACCCAUCAGUACACAUCACUAGAAUAAAACAAAGUCAUGCCACAAUCACUCUACUUGUUCUCCCUGUCCCAGUUGAAUUGGAUCCAAUUCAGUCGGCCCUCUUUCGUUUUCAUCUUCGUGAAGGCCCUCCGAUACAUUGCGUUCCUACAUAAAUAAAGUGCCUGG